AUGGACGCAUAGCUAAAAUUAAAUGACCACAUUAUCCCAAUCCAAUCUCAGUAGUCAGUACCGUACUACCGCACUACCGCAGUAUCUAAGUUAUUUAUCCAUUAGUUAAAAUUAUUCAAAGCUAAAGGUAUAAAAGUUGUCUUCAUUACUUUAAACAAAAUUAAAAUAAAUAUAAUGGCUGAGUCGAUUUCCCAAAAGACCGACAGAGAGCUUUGUCAAAUAAUUGCAACUUCUAUCUCAAACAUUGUCAGCGACAGCCUAAAUCCGUCAUUUAGACAAAACUAUUUCGAUAUCAUACAGGUAUAAUAAUUAGGAAUUAUAAAUAUUAAAAUUACUAUAUAUGAUUAUGUAAUAUGUACACAUACAAAAUUAUAUCUACCCAGUACCUUUACAAAAUGUUAGUUAAACCAUAUACAUAUCUACGGUGGCAGCCUAGGGUGCUUGCACUGCCCCUGUAAUUGUUGACACCAGUUAACCGAAUUGUAUGUCUAGUUACUUACAACUUAUAUUAAAAAAAAGUUUUCUUAUAUUAAUUUUUUAUAAUAAACAAUUGUUUAUUUUAUUAUAAUAACAAAAUAUCAUUCUCUAUUCUCUAUUGUCUAUCAUUUUUAUUAGUUUAUAUUUUAACAUACCAUAUAUUUUAUUAAUUACUUAUAUGGCGGUAUAAUCCAUAUCUGUACAUGAAUAAUAUUUCUGUAGUUAAAUUUAAAGGUACUGAAAAUACUGUUCAUUAUAAAUUGUAAAUAGAUGAUACAGACUUUCUUUAAUUUUAUAAAUAUUUUAUUAGGGGGGGAUUAACCUUCCCUCCUAGAGGAUUUUUUCAGUUCAUUAAGUAGCGCCGGUCAUUAACUAGGCUGCCGCUGUAGAUGAAGUCUAGUCACACCUAUGAAUUAAACAUGUUUUAUAUAUUUAUAAAACAUGGUACUAUACUAUUGGUACUAUCUAUAUACCUAGGUACCUACUUAUGUUAUUUAAUUAUUUUUUUUUUUACAAUCUUAGAUUGGUUCAAUAACUGAUGGACUUCCACUCGUCCCUAUCCAUCACCGCUAUUUUUAAUUCUUUAUAAUUGAUUUUUCCAUGUCUUCUAUUAUCUGUUUCAUAAAAUAUGAUGUUUUUAGUCUACCUCUUCCAGCUUUUCUUUUUAUCUUUCCUAACCUAACCUAGUCAUAAUAAAUCUAAUUAAUAAUUAUUAUAAUUUAAUUUAUAAUACUCAGCUUAAGAGAUUAAUUUCUACCUACUUUUUUUUCAUAUGGCAUAGGUUUCCAAUUCAACAGAUGCACAGAAUUCAUUAGAAAAUCGCCUUUUAAGUUUAAUAGGAGAGCCAGAGAAUACAUUGUGUGUAAGUAACCGUUGUACUAAAAUUUUCUUUAAAAUUAUUACAAUAAUUACUUAUCUAUAUUUAUUCAUAGAUAUAUUUUUUUUUUAUUGUUCUUUUUCUUUAGUCAUUUUUUUUAUUGUAGAUUUAAAAUUAUAAAUAUGUUUGAUGUAGGACUUAGAUAUUUUUAAUUUCUCGAAGAAAACAAUUUAAAUAGAAAAUAUCUUUAAAUUUUAUUAUACCUAUAAUUAAUGUUUAAAUAAAAAUAGAUACCUACUUAUAAUACAAAAUGGACAGAGAGAACCAUAUAAGAAAAAUAUAAUUUUAAGUAGCUAUAAUACUUUAACCCCUGCUACUAAGGUAUCUACAUGAAAUAAUUUAGGUAUAUUAAUAGGUAGGUAAAUAUAGUUACUUAGAUAUCAAAUAGAUUUCCAAUUCUUUAAUUUAACUGGAAAAGUAAAUUUCAAUAUCUAAUAUAUACUUAUUUAAUUAAGUAUAAAAUUUACAGAAAAAAGAAAUUAAGUUUAUAAUGAAAUUCACUUUCUAAUUAAAUUUAAAAAUUUGAAAUCUGUUUAAUACCUACGUAUUUAAAAUUAUAUUGUAUGUUGUCUAUAAAAAAUAUAUACCAUAUUAUUUACUAUUUAGUAAAUAUUUAUUUUUAAUCAUUUUGAGAUAUACAAUUUAAUAGUUAAUAGAAUAAUAUGAAAUUUACAUUUUUUAGGAAAAAAAUGCAAAUGAAAAUGAUAAACCAUCCUUGGAGGAUUAUAUUGCUUCAAAAAUAUUGCGUCCUUCAGAUGCAAUGAAUACACACAAAUAUUCAGAAAUGAUCUCUUUGAUUAAACGACUCGUGGAAAUCGAUCCCAAUGCAAAUGGACAUAUCAGAAAAUACAAUAAUGCUGUAUCUACUGCAGGUAUUUUCCCUUCCAAUCUAAUUGAAAGUGUUGAAUCAACUCAAAUGGAACUUUAGAUAAUUAUUUUAUUUAUUUAACAUACAAAAUACAUUUUUCUUUGUUAAAUAUUAAACUAAUUCCACUACACUACUUUUUAAUUUAUAUUCAAUAGAAAUGGUACACAAAAGUCUUCAGCAUUUUUAUAAAGUUGAUAAUUUUAUUUUAGAUUUAUUAUGAUAAUUUUAUUUAUAUAUUUAUAUUAAAAUCUAUAAAAAAAUAUAUUUAUGAAAAAUAG